GACGAACGCUGGCGGCGUGCUUAACACAUGCAAGUCGAACGGAGUGGCGAACGGGUGAGUAACACGUGGGUGAUCUGCCUUGCACUUCGGGAUAAGCUUGGGAAACUGGGUCUAAUACCGGAUAGUGCAAGAUGAGCUCGCGGCCUAUCAGCUUGUUGGUGGGGUAAUGUCCUACCAAGGCGUCGACGGGUAGCCGGCUUGAGAGGGGGUACGGCAACAUUAGGACUGUGAUCCGGACCAGUCUGCAACGGGAGGCAGCAGUGGCGAAUAUUGCACAAGGGGCUGAAGCCGGAUGCAGCGACGCGCCGUGGGGGAUGAAGGCCUUCGGGUUGUAAACUCCUGUCGACAGAGACGCGGUACCUGUAUAAGAAGCACCGGCUAACUACGUGCCAGCAGCCGCGGUAAUAC
rnacentral:rRNA from 1 species